rnacentral:rRNA from 1 species
GAUGAACGCUAGCGGCAGGCUUAAUACAUGUAAGUCGAGGGGCAGCGCAGUGUAGCAAUACAUGGGCGGCGACCGGCAAACGGGUGCGGAACACGUACGCAACCUUCCUUUAAGUGGGGGAUAGCCCAGGGAAACUUGGAUUAAUACCCCGUAAUAUUAUGAAGUGGCAUCACUUUAUACUUAUAGCUACGGCGCUUAAAGAUGGGCGUGCGACUGAUUAGGUAGUUGGCGGGGUAACGGCCCACCAGGCCUGCGAUCAGUAACUGGUGUGAGAGACCGACCAGUCACACGGGCACUGGGCCACGGGCCCGACUCCUACGUGAGGCAGCAGUAAGGAAUAUUGGUCAAUGGACGCAAGUCUGAACCAGCCAUGCCGCGUGGAGGAUGAAGGUCCUCUGGAUUGUAAACUUCUUUUAUUUGGGAAGAAACCCACUGUUUCUACGGUGGUUGACGGUACCAGAGGAAUAAGCACCGGCUAACUCCGUGCCAGCAGCCGCAGUAAAAC